rnacentral:rRNA from 1 species
UACAGAGGGUGCAAGCGUUAAUCGGAAUUACUGGGCGUAAAGCGUGCGUAGGUGGUUCGCUAAGUCAGGUGUGAAAGCCCGGGGCUUAACCUCGGAAUUGCAUUUGAUACUGGCGGGCUAGAGUGUGGUAGAGGGUAGUGGAACUCCCGGUGUAGCGGUGAAAUGCGUAGAUAUCGGGAAGAACACCAGUGGCGAAGGCGGCUACCUGGACCAACACUGACACUGAGGCACAAAAGCGUGGGGAGCAAACAGG